rnacentral:rRNA from 1 species
ACGACUACAUAUCAGGCAUAUCAAUAAGCGGAGGAAAAGAAACUAACAAGGAUUCCCCUAGUAACGGCGAGUGAAGCGGGAAGAGCUCAAAUUUGAAAUCUUAAAGGGUUUCCCUUUACGAAUUGUAGUUUAAAGAAGUGUUUUCUGUUGGAGUUUUCGGUGAAAGUUCUUUGGAAUAGGACAUCAUAGAGGGUGAGAAUCCCGUAUUUGACCAGUUACUUCCAGCUGUGUGAUACACUUUCAAAGAGUCGGAUUGUUUGGGAAUGCAGUCCCAAGAUGGGUGGUAAAUUUCAUCUAAAGCUAAAUAUUGGCGAGAGACCGAUAGCGAACAAGUACCGUGAGGGAAAGAUGAAAAGAACUUUGAAAAGAGAGUUAAACAGUACGUGAAAUUGUCAAAAGGGAAGCGUUUGACACCAGUGUUGUUUAGUUGAAAAUCAAUUCAAUAGUUUUUGAUUCUAAGUAGUAUUGACUUCAUCAGCUUGCUGCUUUCUUCUCAGAAAUUAUUGAAUGCACUUUUCAGUUAACAAGUCAACAUCAAUUUCUUUUGUUGUAAAAGGGUAAGAGGAAGGUGGCUUGCGCUUCGGCUCAAGUGUUUAUAGCCUUGUACCUCUGCAAUCGGAGAGAUUGAGGUCUGCAGCGUAGAUCCUUCGGGGUUAGAUACAUUUGUGCUAAGUUAUAGCUUUUCAUAGACAACUUGUUAGACUAUGUUUAGUCUUGUAGCUUACUCGCUUAUGCUAUUUUACCUACGCUUAGGAUGUUGAACGCGCACAGAGUCUC